GAUGAACGCUAGCGGCAGGCCUAAUACAUGCAAGUCGAACGGUAAGAUCCCCUUCGGGGGAUUGAGAGUGGCGGACGGGUGCGUAACGCGUAUGCAACCAACCCCCGACGGGCGGAUAGCCGGUGGAAACGCCGGAUAAGCCGCCAUGCGGCCGACGAGGGGCAUCCCUUGUCGGUCAAAGCGGAGACGCGGUGGGGGACGGGCAUGCGUCCCAUUAGAUAGUUGGCGGGGCGACGGCCCACCAAGUCGACGAUGGGUAGGGGAUCUGAGAGGACGGUCCCCCACACUGGUACUGAGACACGGACCAGACUCCUGCGGGAGGCAGCAGUAAGGGAUAUUGGUCAAUGGUCGGAAGACUGAACCAGCCAUGCCGCGUGAGGUAUGAAGGCCCUACGGGUCGUAAGCCUCUUUUACCCGGGGACAAGGGCGCCCACGCGAUGGGUGCUUGAGGGUACCGGGGGAAUAAGCGUCGGCUAACUCCGUGCCAGCAGCCGCGGUAAUACGGAGGACGCGAGCGUUAUCCGGAUUCAUUGGGUUUAAAGGGUGCGCAGGCGGCCUGUCAAGUCAGCGGUGAAAGCCCGGGGCCCAACCCCNGGAAGUGCCGUUGAUACUGUCGGGCUGGAAUGCGGUCGAGGCGGGCGGAACGUGGCGUGUAGCGGUGAAAUGCGUAGAUAUGCCACAGAACGCCGAUAGCGGAGGCAGCUCGCCAGGCCUGCAUUGACGCUCGGGCACGAAAGCGUGGGGAUCGAACA
rnacentral:rRNA from 1 species